UAUCUUUGCCUUUUAGUAGAAAAGAUGUUAAAUAUAAGAAUAUAAAAAUAUUAUGUUCUAUCAGUUUAAGCUUUUAAAGUACAAUGAUUAUUUUAUUUAAUUUAGCAUAAUAUCGAAACAGAAAGUUCAGAGUUCAGAGUUCAAGUCAUACUAGACUUAUAGCAUAAUUGAUUUUCUUCCGUUUAAUUCACGUCCACCGUAUGAAUCUAUCAAAAAAUCACCGUUCUUUACAAACUUUAGUUUUUAAAGUAUAAUAAUUAUUUUACAUUUUUUAACAAAAGAAAACU
rnacentral:lncRNA from 1 species